AUUGAACGCUGGCGGCAGGCUUAACACAUGCAAGUCGAGCGAGCGGCGGACGGGUGAGUAAUGUCUGGGAAACUGCCUGAUGGAGGGGGAUAACUACUGGAAACGGUAGCUAAUACCGCAUACCAUCAGAUGUGCCCAGAUGGGAUUGGCGAGGAGGUGGGGUAAUGGCUCACCUAGGCGACGAUCCCUAGCUGGUCUGAGAGGAUGACCUGCCACCCUGGCACUGAGCCCCGGUCCAGACUCCUCCGGGGGGCAGCCGUGGGGAAUAUUGCACAAUGGGCGCAAGCCUGAUGCAGCCAUGCCGCGUGUGUGAAGAAGGCCUUCGGGUUUUAAAGCACUUUCAGCGAGGAGGCGUUACUCUCCUAAGAAGCACCGGCUAACUCCGUGCCAGCAGCCGCGGUAAUAC
rnacentral:rRNA from 1 species